AUGGCGCUCUACCUGCUCUUCGAGUCCGCCUCCGGGUACGCGCUCUUCCACGCGCACGGCAUCGACGAGAUUGGGCAGAGCGUCGACGCCGUCCGCUCCACCGUGCUGGACCUCAAGCGGUUCAGCAAGGCCGUCAAGCUCGCCGGGUUCACCCCCUUCCUCUCCGCCGUCGACGCCCUCAACCAGUGCAACGCCAUCUCCGAAGGGAUCAUGACUGACGAGCUUAGGAACUUCCUGGAGCUCAACCUGCCCAAGGUGAAGGAGGGGAAGAAGGCCAAGUUCACCGUCGGCGUCAUGGAGCCCAAGGUCGGGUCCCACAUCACCGAGGCCACCGGAAUCCCUUGCCAGUCCAACGACUAUGUCCAGGAACUGCUUCGUGCAGUGCGGCUGCAUUUCGAUCAAUUCAUUGAGCAACUCAAGCCAUCUGACCUGGAGAAGGCCCAGCUAGGUCUGGGACAUAGCUAUAGCAGGGCCAAGGUGAAGUUCAAUGUGAAUCGUGUGGAUAAUAUGGUGAUUCAAGCUAUCUUUCUGUUGGAUACACUUGAUAAGGAUGUCAAUUCCUUCUCUAUGAGAGUGAGGGAGUGGUAUGGAUGGCAUUUUCCUGAGCUGGUCAAGAUUGUGAAUGACAAUUACCUCUAUGCUAAGCUUGCCAAGUUUGUGGUAAACAAAUCUGACUUGUCGGAGAAGGACAUUCCAGCUUUAGCGGAUCUAAUUGGAGAUGAAGACAAGGCAAAAGAAAUUGUUGAGGCAGCAAAGGCAUCUAUGGGCCAGGAUCUUUCACCUGUUGAUUUGAUCAAUGUCCAACAGUUUGCUCAGAGGGUCAUGAAUCUAUCUGAGUACCGUAAAAAUCUCUAUGAGUAUCUGGUGACAAAGAUGAAUGAUAUUGCACCAAACCUGACGUCAUUGAUUGGUGAAAUGGUUGGAGCCCGGCUAAUCUCUCAUGCUGGCAGUCUUUCAAAUCUUGCAAAAUGCCCUGCAUCUACUCUGCAGAUACUGGGUGCUGAAAAGGCGCUCUUUAGAGCUCUCAAAACACGUGGAAACACACCAAAGUAUGGCCUCAUAUUCCACUCAUCUUUUAUUGGUCGUGCAUCAACCAAGAACAAGGGAAGGAUGGCCCGAUACCUUGCAAACAAAUGUUCCAUUGCUUCACGUAUUGACUGCUAUUCAGAUAUGAGUAGCUCCAUUUUCGGCGAGAAGCUGCGUGAACAAGUUGAGGAGAGGCUAGACUUCUAUGAUAAGGGUGUUGCACCCCGCAAGAACCUUGAUGUGAUGAAAGCUGCUAUUGAUGGCUUGACAAACACAGAGGAUAAUGACGGCAAAGAGAAUGGUGACGCAUCUGUGAAGAAAAGCAAGAAGAAGAAGUCCAAAGCUGAGGCUAACGGUGACGCGAUGGACGUUGAGAAUGCCACGGCAGAAGCUGAAACUGGAACCGAGAAGAAAAAGAAAAAGAAGCACAAGCUUGAGGAGCCGAAGGACGAGGAGAUGCAAGCCAAUGGCGAUGAUGAGACCCCUAAGAAGAAGAAAAAGAAGAACCGUGAAGCCGAGUCUGUUGAUCCUAAGACAGGCACAGAGGGGAAAUCCAAGAAAAAGAAGAAGAAAUCCAAGACUGACGACGACGAGUAG
rnacentral:rRNA from 1 species